rnacentral:rRNA from 1 species
UACGUAGGCAGCGAGCGUUGUUCGGAAUUACUGGGCGUAAAGAGUGUGUAGGCGGUGCUCUAAGUUCGGUGUGAAAUCUCCCGCUUAACUGGGAGGGUGCGCCGGAAACUGGAGUGCUCGAGCGUGGGAGAGGAAAGCGGAAUUCCUGGUGUAGCGGUGAAAUGCGUAGAUAUCAGGAGGAACACCUGCGGUGUAGACGGCUUUUCUGGACCAUUGCUGACGCUGAGACACGAAAGCGUGGGUAGCAAACAGG